rnacentral:lncRNA from 1 species
UGGUAUGACUGCUCGCAGAAAGACUGUUGAAGUUUGACUGACACAUAAACAUGAUCUAAAUGAGUCCUUGUAGUGGAUGUUGGCGACAGUUGGUCCACUGUAGUAGGGUAUGCAUCAAGAUGGAAUCUAUCGACUUUAAAAGAAAGGAGUAGCCCUAUGAGAUUUGAGAGACUAAGUCUGAGAGUUUGUGGCCACAGCAGUAUGAUUGAUAGAAAAGAAUUUUUAUAACGAUCAUAAUUGGACUUGAGCUGAUUGAAUCUAUCAUAUGACUGAUGUGAAAGAAGAGUGCCCU